rnacentral:tRNA from 1 species
ACUGUCAGGACAGGGUUCGAACCUGUAUCGCAAUUUCCGAAGAAUUUUGUCCUACCUGUUAGACGACCUGACAA